AUUGAACGCUGGCGGCAGGCCUAACACAUGCAAGUCGAACGAGUGGCGGACGGGUGAGCAAUGUCUGGGAACCUGUCUGAUGGCGGGGGAUAACUACUGGAAACGGUCGCUAAUACCGCAUACCUUGAGAUGUGCUCAGAUGGGGUUCGCUUGUUGGUGGGGUAACGGCUCACCUAGGCGACGCUCCCUAGCUGGUCUGAGAGGAUGACCAGCCACACUGAAGCUGAGACACGGUCCAGACUCCUACGGGAGGCAGCAGUGGGGAAGAUUGCACAAUGAACGGAGGCCUGUUUGAGCCAUGCCGCGUGUAUGAAGAAGGCCUUCGGGUUGUAAAGUACUUUCAGUGGGGAGGCGUUACCCGCAGAAGAAGCACCGGCUAACUCCGUGCCAGCAGCCGCGGUAAUUC
rnacentral:rRNA from 1 species